GCGGCGAUUGCCAGAGAUGGUGUAGCGAAAAAGGCAGCACAGUUUGUAAAAUUUGUCUCUAGGUUCGAUCUUUUUAUUUUUCUUUUUAUUACUUUUUCUUUUUAAUGUUUGAGUUUUUGGGUCUAAAGGAAAAAGGAAUACUUAUGUGAUUGUUAUCUUCUUAAAAUGUUUUUCUAGGGUUGUAACUUUAGCAAUAUUUUUCUUCUCUCAACCUUAUAUUCCCUCAACAAUCAUCUACAGGAUGAGGUUCGCAAGCUUGCUGCAAAAUUCAACCUAUCAAACAAAGACAGAAAGGAUUCACAAGGAAUAUGUUUCCUUGGGAAGGGGUUUCAAAGGGUAGAAGGCUAAGAAAGAAAGAAGAAGAAAUUCAAAAAAAUGUAUGUUGAAGAAGACAAGGAGUUUGCAAGACAAACUUCUCUAUAGUUCAUUAACCACAUCUCUCGUUUUUUAUUGAUUUCGAGCUAUACAAAAAGAAUUAAGAGAGAAGACAAGGCAGGUUGUUUUCACGUGAAAUCAGAAGAUCUCUAGUUUUUCUUUAGUAUUUUAGGGUGUACCGGUGGAGUUAGGAUCUCUAUUUGGUAUUUUUAGAAAGCUUAUUCAAUUUAAUACAACUUUCAUGAAGAAAUCGUGAACAAAAAAUGACUGAAAAUAAGUUAAAUUGUAGGGACAAUUUAAAGGGGUCGUGUUGUACGUGAUUAUUGGAGUGGUUCUGUUUCGAGGGAUGUCUGAGAUUAUACACAGGGAAUUAGAUUUACAUGCCUUGAGGUUACGUUCCAUUGUUGAUGUUGAGUGUACUCCGUGACAAUGAUGUUGUCGUGAGUGUUAGGCAAGACCCACUAUGACAAAGAUGAUGGGAGUGAUGGGCAAGCCCCACUACAUCGUAGAAUUAAUAAACGUUGGUUGUACUAAACGUUUCCUACACAACAUAAUGAAGUCAUGUUAGUUAAAUAGUUUAUAAAUAAGAAAUUUCUUGCUAGAUUUUAUAGAUAUACGUAUUGAAUAUUUGAAGGAGCUAUUUUCUGAAAAUAUUUACAGUUAACGCUUUGCUUGUUAGAUUUAUAAGUUUUCAAAGAUUAUCAUGAGUUCCGAUUUACAGUUUUAAAGUUUUGUCACUCACUGAGCUUUAUAGCUUACCCUUCCAAAAUGUUUUACCCACUUUUCAAGUAGAGAUCGAGUUCCCGAUGCCUGAUAGACUGCCUUAGUCUACUGAAGCUCCGAUAUAGAUUGUCAGUACGUGGUUAGAGUUGUGCAUAGAGUCUGUUGUGUUAUGAUGUAUAUAUUUUUGUAUGAUAUAGAUACUCUACAGUUUGUGUAAGCUUUAGGAGCUGCGGUUGUGUAAACCUUUGUUGGUUAUGUUUUGGUUAAGGUGUCUCCAGGUUUACUUGCGAAAUCAGUUAUUUUUGGGCUACAGUUCAUGUAUGUAUAUGAUUAGUCUAGGUUCC